GCCUGAACAGGAGGCAGACAGAGCAGAGGGGGGGGGUCAUACUCUAGGAUGUGAGGGGGAUUUCAUGGAUCUGCUGGACCAGCUCUUUCAGACAUCAUCCUGGGCCAUUUGCUGUUUGGCAUGCUCCAUCUCGCUGCAAGGCUGCAAGGACAGUCUCUCUCUCUCUCUCUCUCUCUCUCUCUCUCUCUCCCUCUCUUUGUCUCCUCUCUCGGCCAUACUAGCUGCUGGUUAACGCAGACUCUGGGGAGACAGAGCAGAUAUGCUGUGUUAAAUAAACCAGGCUUUUUAUCUGAUGGGGCACCAGACAAAGACAUACUGCAGGUACAAUACAGUACAUUCUUUGAUGUUCUUGUGUGUAUACUGAAUGAUGAAUAUUUCAGUGGCAGGUGCGUAGUUUGAAGGGAAAGAUUAAUACCAUUGCAGGCAGACUGCUAAAUAAACCACCUUAGGGGAAACAUUGCAGUGAAGAUAUUGUCUCUUCUUACUGUGUCUGUUUCUAACUGACGAAUGCUUAACCUCUCUGACUUCCCUAUCACCUUCUCUCUUGGUGUCCACUCACAGCCGUCCUUGUCCUGGGUUUUAUUUUUAAGGACCAUCCCCAUUUGUUUUCUCUCCUCACUUUUCCAUAACAGCUGCUGGGUCAGCAUAAAUCCUGAGUCUUACAAUGGCAACAGUGGAGGGUAUUAGCCGGUGCACUGUAUGUGCUGUAUGUGUGUAUCUGCACCUGGUCCAUGGUCCAUUGUGUCUUAAGGUACAAACAGCUGCUGA